AGAGAUGAGGUCUAUACAGGACAACUUUACCGAUGUACGCCGCUACGGGCGUGUUGUAGGCCGUCGACAUUCGUCUUGAGGACUGUUGUGGCUUGAGUGUGGCCAUGCCUGAGGGAGAAACUACAUCAUGGAGAGAUGCGUCUUGUCGGCUGCCGCUCAUGAGGAUGUCCAAGAUUCUGCUAUUGUGGAAGACUGCACUUCAUGUUUUCUUGUAAUGCAAAAGGAAAUUGCUCUAGAUUCCUACACAGCGAUUGAUUAUCCUUCUCACAACGCUCACAAGCAAUUUCACAUGCAUAAAAAAAAUCAGUUAUUAGAUCCAAAUAAAUGUUCUCCUGAUAGAGUUUUCUUCUGAGCGUAUGCAUCCAUGCCGAUGCUUGCU
rnacentral:lncRNA from 1 species